CUAGUACUCCCUCCGUUCGGAAUUACUUGUCGCAGAAAUGGAUGUAUCUAGAUGUAUUUUAGUUCUAGAUACAUCCAUUUUCGAGACAAGUAAUUCCGAACGGAGGGAGUAGUUG
rnacentral:pre_miRNA from 1 species